UGGCUGGGAGUGAGUCCUCCUGUUCAUUAGACCAUCUCUCCUCGUUCUGCGUCUCUGAAGGCCGUUCAGCUCAUCUCACAUCAGAGACGAUCUCUGGAGCGCCUCCUCUCAGCUGACACUAAACCGUUAACCGGUAAUCUGAGUAACCGUAAACCGUUAACCGGUAACCUGAGUAACCGGUAACCGGUAACCUGAGUAACCGGUAACCGGUAACCGUUAUCCUGAUCGGUAACCGGUGUCUCCUCUCCUCUCUGGUUAACGGCUGGAUGGUUGUGUUAUCGGGAUGAGAUCAUGUUGUGAGAGAUGACUGAGGGGAGCAGCAGGAGGACCGGACCGGAGGAGGUUCUGCUGGUCUGGCUGGAGGGAUGGAGGAGCCGAGGAGGCCCAGCGGGGUCUGGGUCUGGUUCCUCGGUCCUGUCCUCGUCCUCUCCACCCUGUUAGUGAGCUGCUGCAGCGGGACCUGUAGACACCUGAGCCCUCCUCCUGACCAGGUUAUCCAUCAUGUGUACUUGAAGCCUGAGCGCCUGACGAAGAGGAGCUCGCCCGACGACCUUCAGCUGAAGAUAAAGAUCAUCUACGACUACAGCGUUGACCGACUUCCUGCAGACAAGAGGAGGCUGGUGAAGGAUAAACUGUUUCCUCAGGCCAUUGACUACCUGCAGAGGGCCUUCAGUGUGAGGCGCAGGGUCGGCCCGGUGCUGCUCAGCAGACAAUGUGCAACCAACCAGUACCUGAGGAAGAGAGAUGACCCUCAUCGCUACUGCCAGGACGCCUGUGCAGACGUCACGCGAUGCGGCCCCGUCGUCGUACCACAGCACCACCUACAGCAAUGCAAGGUGUGCAGCGAGUCAGGGAAGUCCUGCGGCCCCCUGGGGCCCCCAGACGGCCCCGGGGUGGACGGGUCCGACUUUGUGCUCUACGUCAGCGGCAUCACCACGGAGCGCUGUGGACAGGAGAACAUCGUGGCCUACGCCGCCUACUGCCAGCUGGAGGCAGAGCUGGACAGACCGAUAGCCGGCUACGCCAACCUGUGUCCUGCUAUGAUCUCCUCUCAGCCUCAGGAGUUUGAAGGGAUGCUCUCCACCGUCAAACAUGAGAUCAUCCACGCUCUGGGCUUCUCAGCAGGUCUGUUUGCCUUCUACCACGAUGAUGACGGUAAACCUCUGACUCCUCGCUUCACCAGCGGCCUGCCCGCCUUCAACGAGAGUCUGGGUCUGUACCAGUGGAGCGAGGCGGUGAUCAGGAGGGUCAGCAGGCUGUGGGACAUCAGAGGAGGAGUCAUGGUCCGACACCAAGUCCAUGUCCUGGUCACGCCCCGCGUCGUGGAGGAGGCCAGGAGACACUUUAACUGUCCCAUCCUGGAGGGGAUGGAGCUGGAGAACCAGGGGGGGACGGGGACCGAGCUGAACCACUGGGAGAAGAGACUGCUGGAGAACGAGGCGAUGACGGGCUCCCACACUCAGAACCGGGUGUUUUCUCGGCUGACGCUGGCCAUCAUGGAGGACAGCGGCUGGUACCGAGCCAACUACAGCCUGGCUCAGAGGCUGGACUGGGGCCGAGGCCUCGGCUGCGACUUCGUCAUGAAGAGCUGCAAGUUCUGGAUGGACCGGCAGAGACAGAGGCGCCACUCGGUGACUCCGUACUGUGACACGGUGAGAGCUUCUCCUCUGCAGCUGACCUGCAGACAGGACCAGCUGGCUGUGGCCGUCUGCAACCUGCAGAAAUACCCUCAGGAGCUGCCGCUGGAGUACCAGUACUUUGACAGGAUCCCAGACGUGUCCUCUGAUCAGCUGUCGCUGUUCGGCGGCGCUGUGGAGAUCGCCGACUACUGUCCCUUCAGUCAGGAGUUCAGCUGGCACCUGAGCGGAGAAUAUCAGAGGAACUCGUACUGCCGAGUGUCGGAGAACCAGCCAGACUGGUGGAGGAACUACGGAGCGGAGCAGUACGGACCGGACUCGGUGUGUCUGCCCCAGAAGUCGGCCUUCAUCAUGGAGCAAUGCACCAGGAAGAUGACGUACCCCGACUGGGGCUCCGGAUGCUACAAGGUGUGGUGCUCGGCUCAGGGCCUGACGGUGUUCGUCCAGGACCGCUCCUUCCUCUGCGUCCGUAAAGGUCAGCAGUUGAGCGUCAGCGUGAGAGUCGGCGACUGGGUUUACAACGGCGUGCUGGUCUGCCCCGCCUGCACCGACUUCUGUGACGACUGCCCCCUCCCGCACCAGCUCCCGCCCGUCAACGCCUCCAGGAGUAACCCCAUUGACCCGUGCUCCAGCUCUCCGGGUCUGGCCAUCACUCUGUGGCUGCUGCUGCUCAACCUGCUCCCCCUGGUGGCCGGACUGCUGCUCUGCCAUUGCAGCUGAUCCAACUACAGGAAGGUAGCUGAACAUUUACUGACCUAUAAACACUCCUCUGGACUCCUGAGGACCUGAUCUGAUCUCCUCUUCCUCCCUGUUACCUCCAUUCCUACGUUCUUCUUCCUCCUCGUUUCAUCUGUCAGGGAUCAUGUGUUUGUCCUGAGACAGCGGGACAAUAUCUGUCUUUUACUGAUCUUUUUAUUGAUCCGAUACAUGAAGAUCACAAGGAACUGACUGUGGAUCAGUUCACAGCUGAUCUCUUCCUGCCGUCUCGGAGCAACACGAGCCAGGAGGAAACGUUGCUGCGUUUGUUCGUCCGGCUGUUUUUAAAACUACUAACUCUUUUUAAAAAAACAAUCAGACUUUCAAGCUGAAAGGUCAGCGUACUUCCUGUGAAUGAGACGUGUGCGGUGUGGUGACCCCCCCCCCCCGGUGGCAGCAGGAGGUUUAAACUUUAUAAAAGGUCCAACCAGAAGACUUGUAAUCGUUUCAUAGUAGACAACAACUGUAAACGAUGGUGAAGAGGAAGAGGAAGGCACAACAUCCCCACCUUCCUCAUGUUUCCUCGAACGACGACCACGACAGAGUGAAGAGAAAGAAAAAAAGAUGAGGUGAAAUAGCAGAGCCAACCCGGAGAGAAGGCUGCUGCCAUCAGCAUCUAGCUUCCUUCCUGAUGACAUCACACACAUUGUGAAAGCAUGCAGCAGUGAUUGGUCGGGGACGGGGAGCGACGUGUAGUCCGUUACGUUUCCUAAUCUGACAGAGUGACCAUCGUAACUGAACCAGGAAGUUUAAUCUGCUCCAGGCUUUAAUGAGAUUAUCAGAGAUUAACAUCAGAUUAUUAAUCUAAUGUUUCUAUUUCAUAUGUUGAACAAAUGAACUCAAUCUGACACCCAGAAGAGGAAGAAUAAGCCAUGGACCCUGCUAGCUGUCAAUCAUUAAUAA